UAUGCCUGUGAUUUACUGCAGGAAAGAGAGAGUUCUGUUGCUCACUGAAGCACAGUGUUGUUCACAGGACAUAAUUUCUAGUUUAAGGGGAAAAAAACACUUCCACCUCUGACGAAGAGAAAUAAGCAUUACGUUAAUUAUGAAGAAUUGCAAAACUGUGCUCUGAAUAAAGAAGGAAUAAAUCAAGUUUUCGAGUGAGACUGUAAAUUUCUCCUGACAUCCUAGAAUUCUUGAAAAGAAAGAUCAUGUGUAAAAGCUACUGUGUUCCCCCCAAGAGAAAUAUUCAAGUGCAUCCCAAGGAAUCUGAACCUAAGGGUUACUUCAAAAAAGGGGGCGCCUGAAUGUGUUGUUUUACCUUAAUCUGUCUUACCCUAUGGCCCAGCUAACCAGCGCAGACUCUGCAGUGUCCACAGGUAAGAAAGGUGCUUCCCCUCCCAUUGCACAGAUCAGGUUCUGGCACUGCAGGAAUCAGACAGGACCCAAGUGUAGCCAGUGACUUGCAACAACUGAAGAGGCUCUCUGACAUGCAACAGGGGAGACAACCAUGGGCUCUGAAACCUCUGCAUUAUUUUAAAGGCAGGGGUGUGUGCAGAAACAAGCAAGGGACUGGAUAGGGAAGAUGCCAAUUACUAUCAGAGGAGAAUCAAACACCGUUGUGCCUUCUGCUCACUGCAAAAUCCUGAAGAUAAAUACAAAGUAAUCUUCAGAAACAAGUGAUUUGUAAAAGUCUGUGUGGAGAAAUGGAGAGAACUGAAUAUAAUCUCACAGUAAAAUUCUGCUGCUGAGAUUUCCAUUCAAGAAAAGCGUUUGUGAAUGCUAGGUAAGUGGCUAAGUAGAUUGACCUUUAUCUCAAUAACAUGUCAAAGUAACUGAACGUGUGUUAGGAUAAUUAAAUCUUCUCAGUGAUAAAGAUUUAAAACUUGAAAAGCAAAAUGGUAAGUUACACUUCUGUAAGAAUUGAGUGGUAAGUGACGUAGUCACUCACUACUGAGUAGCAAGUUCUACACUCACAGUGAGUACUGCUCAUUUUAGAGCAGGUAGUGGUUUUUGCAAUAUCUCCCAUUCUAAGAAUAAGCAGUUUAAAUGACAAUACUUUAAGAUAUAUUUUGAAUCACUAAAUAACAUUUAGAUCACAGAGGUUUCCCAAUGCCAACUUCUGAAGCUACUACAUUAAAAAUUUUUCUCUUGCAUGAAUAACAUUAAUAAUGGCCUUUUCUCUAAAUAUUAGAAUUUUGCAUUCUCUCCCUACAUCACAGUUUAUUUCAGCUUUGCAGUAUUGGAUCUGUUUGAAAAAUAGAAAGGAUACACUUGGCAACAUUCAGGAUAAACACUGUGAUGAAUCACACAUUCUUGCAAGGUGUAUAUUUAUCCUAUGAAAAUAUUUAAAUUCAUACGCACAUGUUUGCUUCUCUGUGCGAGACAACAUUUUUGUUGGACUUUUAUGAGGGCUUGGGUUAUAAAUUGCUUGUGUACUGACUAGUCUGGAGGGAAUGUCUUCUAAACUUUAAAUACAUCCAUACCUCUUGAAAUCUGUCGUCUAGUUUCGAAGAGUUUAAAGGAAAAACAACAAAACCAAACCAUCAUUUGUGACCUAUACAAAACCAAUGCUUUCUCUUCUAUCACUGCAGAAACAAAAAGCAGAAAAUUAUGCUAAAAUCAUACACUAUCACUUGCAAAUACUGGAGCCACUGCUUAAUUAAUAUUCUCUUAUCUUUGCUCUUCAACAAAUAAAGCUUUUAACAUGUUAGGCAGUGUAAGUUUUUCAUAAUGUAGACUUCAAAGCUUGCUGAAAUAAAAUGUUUCCUUUAUGAGGGCUCCGGUAGACUUGGAUACAUCCAAGAGAAAUAUUUAUAUGGCAUUGUGGUCAACCACCUUUCUUGCUGCUUCUCUUUCCCCUCCUCCCAGGGCCCCACUGAAUGCCACCACUGGGCUGAAAGCAAGUUAAAGUUAAACACAGAGAGGCUGAUAAGAUAACUCAAUGAACUUCUGAAUCAUAUCUAGAAAGGACUUUCCUUUUGAGGACAUGCUAUACUCUGAGAGUAUGCUAUACUGAUGUAGCAUUAUUCGUAUUAUUCUGCUAGGCUACAUCCACAAGUAUGUUUUAACAGGGACACUGUUAGAUGCAGUGUCCGUGUAUGCAGAGAUGAUCAUUAUACUGAUUUACUGUGACCCACCAGACAACACCUGUAGUACUGAAGAGAUAAUUUGGCUUAAACAGACUAAUGCCAGUCCAGUGAACAGGUAUUUCUCUUGCAAAACAAAGCAUAAUUUUAAGGCAUAAAAGGUCAAGACUGAAGCUGGAACAGGUAGGUAUAAUUUGCUAAACUAGUAACUACCCACCUCUACCCUCUUGGUUUCAGCUGUACCAAAUAUGUCCAAAUUCUUUACUGUGGGAGUGCAGAGGGGGUUACUGCCGUAAAUAACUUGACAGAUGAGAUCAGAUUUUCACACAAAACACAGAAAUUGAAGGUGAAGAGGGAGAUCUGGCUAAAUUUACGCAUCAUUCAGGAGUCAGCCCAUGUUCCUUAACUCCCUUCAACUUCUCCUCCUCCAUGAAUUACAUCAUCUGGAGCUACGGCUGCAGAGCAGCAUGUUCUGAGACCGUACGGACAGAACUCACUGACCCUCUGCGGGAUUCAUGGCACCACCCUCCUUCCAGCUUCUGCCAACAGAGCCGGAAAAAUGACCAAGCUGUAAAAGUGGAGUGAGUUAAUAUGAUUUAAAAAUGCAUAAAUGAAAAAACACAUUACUACCCUGUGUAAUGGAGACAACUUCUAUUUGUAUCAUAUACCUGUUAUCUAUAUGUGCCCCUAGAAACAACAUAACUCUUUGGUCUACAUUUUAAUAUUAUGGCGCAAAAAUUUAACAACCAGAUUCUCUCUGGCUGUAAUAGAAACCAAAUAUUAUUCCUCUGGCAUUUUGCUUAAAAAAAAUAAUUACAAAUUGCAUGCAAUUUCAGAGACAGAUCUCAGAGAUCAAUGGACUGUCCGAAGAACCUCAAAGAAAUAUUACUGCCCUGAAAUGCAAAACAAAUCAAAGAUCAAAACCUGAGGUCAGAGAAGGCUGUACUUACUCCUUAUUCCUGCUUUUAAUGCACGUCUGGUAAAGAACUUUGACAGCAUUCCAGGUCCCCACUGGUCCAGAGCUAGGCAUGAAUGUAUCUCCAAACAGUGUAAAAACACUGUCAGAGGAGGAACUUCCUAAAGACUCCACCAGCAAUGUGUCAGAAUUUAAAAGCCAUAUCUAUAAAUGAAGAAAUAAUUUAUUUUACUGUAGAUUAUAUAAAUUUUAAUUUGUUCCUUUACUCUGAUCCUAAAUCAGCUGAUACUAAAGCCACAUUCUUACAAAGUUUCUAACAAAGUGUUAACAGACAUAAAUUCACAUUUUAUUAUUCAGCACAGUCUGCACAGCCUCUAGUGGAGAAAAAUGGGUUAAUACAAUAAACUGGGCCCUAAUAUAUCAUAGCCAUUCUUAAGAUCAUUAUUUCUGUGAAGCUGCCUCUUUUUGUGGCUACAGCACAUUCUCUUUCAUAGUACCAAAUGAAACAGUCCCAAGCCGUCUGUUUCAGUACCAAAUGGAUUAUUUCUCCAAUUUCAUAGUUUUUUAGGAAUUAGUUGAACAUAUGGUGUUGAACAACUGAGGGCUAAAGACAGGGAUCUGCCUGCUGGAAGUGCCAAAAAUUAAGCAUUUUUAGAAAGAGUGUGAUAGUUAUGACUGGAUGGAGUUAAGCAAGGAAAAAGAAAAAUUAAUGUGGUGUAAAAGGAAGUCUGGGAUUUACAAAUGGCUGUAACAGACCCUUACUUGGAAAAUAAAUCUUUAUCAAAUUUGAUAA